CAGUAGCCGCGGUAAUACGAAGGGGGCUAGCGUUGUUCGGAUUUACUGGGCGUAAAGGGCGCGUAGGCGGGCGAAUAAGUUAGGGGUGAAAUCCCAAGGCUCAACCUUGGAACUGCCUUUGAUACUGUUUGUCUUGAGUUCGAGAGAGGUAAGUGGAACUGCGAGUGUAGAGGUGAAAUUCGUAGAUAUUCGCAAGAACACCAGUGGCGAAGGCGGCUUACUGGCUCGAAACUGACGCUGAGGCGCGAAAGCGUGGGGAGCAAACAGGAUUAGAGACCCCUGUAGUCCCUGUCUCUUAUAC
rnacentral:rRNA from 1 species